rnacentral:rRNA from 1 species
CUACGGGCCGCAGCAGUGGGGAAUAUUGCACAAUGAGCGAAAGCUUGAUGCAGCGACGCCGCGUGGAGGAUGACGGUUUUCGGAUUGUAAACUCCUGUUAAGAGUGAAGAAAAGCCUAUAAGUAAUAUGUAUAGGUGUUGACGUUAACUCUAGAGAAAGCUCCGGCUAACUUCGUGCCAGCAGCCGCGGUAAUACGAGGGGAGCUAGCGUUAUUCGGAAUCACUGGGCGUAAAGCGCGUGCAGGCGGCUUGUUAAGUCAGUUGUUAAAUAUCCCGGCUCAACCGGGAACCAGCAAUUGAUACUGGCAGGCUCGAGUGUAGGAGAGAGAAGUGGAAUUAUUGGAGUAGCGGUAAAAUGCGUAGAUCUCAAUAGGAACACCGAUGGCGAAGGCAGCUUCUUGGCCUAUGUCUGACGCUAAAGCGCGAAAGCGUGGGUAGCAAACAGGAUUAGAUACCCCAGUAGUC